rnacentral:rRNA from 1 species
AUUGAACGCUGGCGGCAUGCUUUACACAUGCAAGUCGAACGGCAGCACGGGCUUCGGCCUGGUGACGAGCGGCGGACGGGUGAGUAAUGUCUGGGAAACUGCCUGAUGGAGGGGGAUAACUACUGGAAACGGUAGCUAAUACCGCAUAACGUCGCAAGACCAAAGAGGGGGACCUUCGGGCCUGUCGCCAUCAGAUGUGCCCAGAUGGGAUUGGCUAGUAGGUGGGGUAACGGCUCACCUAGGCGACGAUCCCUAGCUGGUCUGAGAGGAUGACCAGCCACACUGGAACUGAGACACGGUCCAGACUCCUACGGGAGGCAGCAGUGGGGAAUAUUGCACAAUGGGCGCAAGCCUGAUGCAGCCAUGCCGCGUGUAUGAAGAAGGCCUUCGGGUUGUAAAGUACUUUCAGCGGGGAGGAAGGCGAUAAGGUUAAUAACCUUGUCGAUUGACGUUACCCGCAGAAGAAGCACCGGCUAACUCCGUGCCAGCCGCCGCAGUAAAAC